CCUACGGGAGGCAGCAGUGGGGAAUAUUGCACAAUGGGCGGAAGCCUGAUGCAGCGACGCCGCGUGAGGGAUGACGGCCUUCGGGUUGUAAACCUCUUUCGCUAGGGAAGAAGCCCUUCGGGGUGACGGUACCUGGAUAAGAAGCACCGGCUAACUACGUGCCAGCAGCCGCGGUAAU
rnacentral:rRNA from 1 species